AGUUAUUAUUACCUAGUUUUGAG
rnacentral:snRNA from 1 species